UUUUAACCACAUUAAAUAAACAUUCGUCUGUCUUAAAUCCCUUAUCGAUAAACUUCGGAAUAAAAUAACUCCAUCUUUGCUAUUUUUUUUAUUGGUAACACUUCGUCUUUUGGGGGGGGGGAUAAGGUUAGGCUAUGAAAGGAUAUGAUACUUUAAUAUUAGAGGUUAGUUUAGAUAAUAGCUGAUGGAGGGAAAAGGUUAGGCUAUGAAAGGAUAUGAUACUUUAAUAUUAGAGGUUAGUUUAGAUAAUAGCUGAUGGAGAGAAAAGGUUAGGCUAUGAAAGGAUAUGUUACUUUAAUAUUAGAGGUUAGUUUAGAUAAUAGCUGAUGGAGAGAAAAGGUUAGGCUAUGAAAGGAUAUGAUACUCUAAUAUUAGAGGUUAGUUUAGAUAAUAGCUGUUGGAGAGAAAAGGCUAGGCUAUGAAAGGAUAUGAUACUCUAAUUUUGAGAAGUU